rnacentral:misc_RNA from 1 species
GAUUGAAUUGCAUUAGGGAAUUAACAGCGUUAAUGCGUCAAUCAACCCCACGGGAACCAGUAAGUUUACAGGAAAUCAAAACCGGCCAGAACAAGAUUAACAAGAUGGCCUCAAAUUAGAGGAUUAAAAAUAGUAAAAAAAUAUCUGAAAAGUCAAAAGCAUAAACAGUUAAUGAGAACCACAUUUUGUUCCACAACAGCAGAAUGCACGCUAUGCAGCCCACACAACUAGAAAGCCGCCC